rnacentral:rRNA from 1 species
CACGUAGGCACCAAGCGUUGUCCGGAUUUAUUGGGCGUAAAGAGCUCGUAGGCGGUCUGUCGCGUCGGAUGUGAAAAUCCAGGGCUCAACCCUGGACCUGCAUUCGAUACGGGCAGACUAGAGUUCGGCAGGGGAGACUGGAAUUCCUGGUGUAGCGGUGAAAUGCGCAGAUAUCAGGAGGAACACCGGUGGCGAAGGCGGGUCUCUGGGCCGAUACUGACGCUGAGGAGCGAAAGCGUGGGGAGCGAACAGG